CCUACGGGCGGCAGCAGUGAGGAAUAUUGGUCAAUGGACGAGAGUCUGAACCAGCCAAGUAGCGUGAAGGAUGACUGCCCUAUGGGUUGUAAACUUCUUUUAUAAAGGAAUAAAACGAGGCACGUGUGCCUUUUUGUAUGUACUUUAUGAAUAAGGAUCGGCUAACUCCGUGCCAGCAGCCGCGGUAAUACGGAGGAUCCGAGCGUUAUCCGGAUUUAUUGGGUUUAAAGGGAGCGUAGAUGGGUUGUUAAGUCAGUUGUGAAAGUUUGCGGCUCAACCGUAAAAUUGCAAUUGAUACUGGCAGUCUUGAGUACAGUAGAGGUGAGCGGAAUUCGUGGUGUAGCGGUGAAAUGCUUAGAUAUCACGAAGAACCCCGAUUGCGAAGGCAGCUUACUAAACUGUGACUGACAUUGAUGCUCGAAAGUGUGGGUAUCAAACAGGAUUAGAUACCCGUGUAGUC
rnacentral:rRNA from 1 species